UGAUGGUAUUGGAAAUGCAUUGCUUCUAAU
rnacentral:piRNA from 1 species